UACGGGGGGGGCAAGCGUUGUUCGGAAUUACUGGGCGUAAAGGGCUCGUAGGUGGCCAACUAAGUCAGACGUGAAAUCCCUCGGCUUAACCGGGGAACUGCGUCUGAUACUGGAUGGCUUGAGUUCGGGAGAGGGAUGCGGAAUUCCAGGUGUAGCGGUGAAAUGCGCAGAUAUCAGGAGGAACACCGGUGGCGAAGGCGGGUCUCUGGGCCGAUAUUGACGCUGAACGGUGAAAGCUAGGGGAGCAAACGGG
rnacentral:rRNA from 1 species